rnacentral:rRNA from 1 species
CCAGACUCCUACGGGAGGCAGCAGUGAGGAAUAUUGGUCAAUGGGCGAGAGCCUGAACCAGCCAAGUCGCGUGAGGGACGACGGCCCUACGGGUUGUAAACCUCUUUUGCCGGGGGACAAACGGCGGCACGCGUGCCGUCCUGAGGGUACCCGGAGAAAAAGCAUCGGCUAACUCCGUGCCAGCAGCCGCGGUAAUACGGAGGAUCCGAGCGUUAUCCGGAUUUAUUGGGUUUAAAGGGUGCGUAGGCGGUUUGAUAAGUUAGAGGUGAAAUGUCGGGGCUCAACCCCGAAACUGCCUCUAAUACUGUUGGACUAGAGAAUAGUUGCGGUAGGCGGAAUGUAUGGUGUAGCGGUGAAAUGCUUAGAGAUCAUACAGAACACCGAUUGCGAAGGCAGCUUACCAAACUAUAUCUGACGUUGAGGCACGAAAGCGUGGGUAGCAAACAGGAUUAGAUACCCGAGUAA